UUUGAUGUGAAACUAAUCAAUGUAAAUCGAACUUCCAAAGUUACAAAAGAUGAUGCUCCUUUCUCUUUUAUUUGGGUUCUUUCUUAGGAAUAAAAUUCAUUUCUCUAUUGUAUGUGAUCUUUCUCUUCACUUCCUGUUUCAAGGAGGACAAGUGGUCAAGUACACUGCCAUGUUAGCUUGUGGCAACUAUCAUGGAGUUGUGGGCUUUGCAAAAGGAAAAGGCCCAGCAAUUCCCAUUACCCUCCAGAAGCAAAAGAGUGACUAUUUUACCUCCAUUUGUUGCCAUUCUGAGACGCUGGCGGCCACUUUUGGCAGGUAUUCAUGAGCUUACUUCUUCAGAUGAUCUGAAUCCCCUCGUUGUUGAUGACCGUGCUUUGGUAGUAAAUGUGCUGCCUCUUGUGGUUGCGGAGGGUGUAAAAACAGCUGGUGCUUCACGUAUAAUUGGUGUAGAUAACGACAAUAAGAAUUUUGAUGUUGAUUUCAUGGAUUGAUGGAGAGAAAAUGGCAUAACAGGACACAUGUGCCAAUUUGACACAUUAGUAUGGGAUCCAGGACGUUCAUCAGAUGAGAAAAAAACAAAAGUCGGGUCCACAAUGCAGAUCAAAGUACACAACAUUGCAAUGUUUUGGAUGUUGGUCUAUGCACCUCCACCUGUUUUGGCUUUGAUACACAUACUCAUGGGUAGUAUAGGUGCAUGCUGGAUGACUUGGAUUAGUUGGGCUUGGAUGGCUGGAGAUUUGUGGUUUGAGGGUCGUGAGCGCAUUCGUCACACAUGAGACCUGCUCUUACAACUUAAGGAGGUAUGUUGUUGUUUGUUGCAAAAACGAUUUCUUUGCUUGCAUGCUUCUGACAUUGAGUUUUUUUUAUGAGGCUUGUGUGCUUUUGAGUUAUGUUUUUGUUUGUUGCAAACGAUUUCUUUGCUUGCAUCCUUCUGAGAUUGUAUUUCUUAUGAGGCUUUGCUAAGAUAUGAUUCACCGGUGUUGUUUGUUGUGGUGAGAGACGAAUGUGUGCUGUAGAAACUAAGACAUCUGGUUUGGUGGGAGGAGAAACAAUAAGCAAGACAUGGGAGAACCUUAUGGAAAAUUGCAUGGAAAUGAAGGAACUUGUUUCUGGUUCAUAUUUGCGGGAGAUGUGUUUCCCUUUUUGCUUUCUCUACCUUUGAAUUUCUCUCACAAUCACAUGUUCAGGAACUGAAAUAAAUUCAUUUACCAUUCAUUCGAAAUCUGUGUGAGGCUAUGAGCGCUAAAUUCGUUUGUAAAAUCCAUGAUAAUUUUUUCAGUGGAAAUGUUUGAAAGCUUCUA